rnacentral:rRNA from 1 species
UCAUGCUAGAAAGAGCAUAUGGUGGAUGCCUUGGCACUAAGAGCCGAUGAAAGACGCGAUAAGCUGCGAAAAGCUUCGGGGAGGGGCAAAUACCCUUUGAUCCGGAGGUGUCUGAAUGGGGAAACCCGCAUGAGGAGCCCUCAUGCAUCCCUGCGCCAAUCCAUAACGCAGGGAGGGGAACCCGGCGAACUGAAACAUCUAAGUAGCCGGAGGAAGAGAAAACAACAAGUGAUUCCGUAAGUAGCGGCGAGCGAACACGGAGGAGCCCAAACCGGGGCGCGUGCGCCCCGGGGUUCGGACCGCGGAAGUGAUUCGGGAAGGCUAGCAGAACGGCUUUGGGAAAGCCGGCCAGAGAGGGUGAAAGCCCCGUAAGCGAAAGCCUGACAGACACGGCGGUAUCCAGAGUACCACGAGACACGAGAAACCUUGUGGGAAGAGGCGGGGACCACCCCGCAAGGCUAAAUACUCCUUAGUGACCGAUAGCGCAUAGUACUGUGAAGGAACGGUGAAAAGAACCCCGGGAGGGGAGUGAAAGAGAACCUGAAACCAUAUGUUUACAAGCUGUGGAAGGGCCUUACGUGCCCAACCGCGUACUUUUUGUAGAACGGUCCGGCGAGUUACGCCGGCUGGCAAGGUUAAGGGCUAAAGGCCCGGAGCCGAAGGGAAACCAAGUCUGAAUAGGGCGAAGGAGUCAGCCGGAGUAGACCCGAAACCGGGUGAUCUAUCCAUGUCCAGGUUGAAGUUGCCGUAAAAGGCAAUGGAGGACCGAACCCACAUCCGUUGAAAAGGGUGGGGAUGAGGUGUGGAUAGGGGAGAAAUUCCAAUCGAACCCGGAGAUAGCUGGUUCUCCUCGAAAUAGCUUUAGGGCUAGCCUCAUACGAGUCUUGCGGAGGUAGAGCACUGAAUUUCCUAGGGGGCGUCAAAGCUUACCGAAGAAUAUCAAACUCCGAAUGCCGCGUAGAUGAUGUAUGGGAGUCAGACUGCACGAGAUAAGUUGGGCAGUCGAAAGGGAAAGAGCCCAGACCUGCGGCUAAGGCCCCAAAAUGUGUGUUAAGUGGAAAAGGAUGUGGGAUUUCGAAGACAACUAGGAUGUUGGCUCAGAAGCAGCCAUGCAUUCAAAGAGUGCGUAAUAGCUCACUAGUCGAGAGGUCCCGCGCCGAAAAUGUCCGGGGCUGAAACACACUGCCGAAGCCCGGGGAUGUACCAAGUACAUCGGUAGAGGAGCAUUGGAUGCGGGAGGAAGCGGCACCGGAAGGAGCCGUGGACCGCAUCGAAGAGAGAAUGCCGGAAUGAGUAGCGAGAGGAAGGUGGGAAUCCUUCCGGCCGAAUAUCCAAGGUUUCCAGAGUAAAGCUGAUCUGCUCUGGGUAAGUCGGGGCCUAAGGCGAGGGCGGGAGCCGUAGCCGAUGGACAACAGGUUGAGAUUCCUGUACCGCGAUAUGACAGAACUGUGGGGACACGCGUGGAAAGCAUAAGCCGGGAAUGGAAAGACCGGCGCAAGCGGGGCAGGGGCUGCAUAGGCAAAUCCGUGCAGCGUAACCCGAAGCCGUGACGCGUACCGAACUGCAAGUAGGGAAGUAUGCGAGCCAUGCGUCAAGAAAAGCCGCUAUCGCUCAUAUCGCGCCCGUACCGCAAACCGACACAGGUAGAUGAGGAGAGAAUCCUAAGGCCGACGGGAGAAGCAUUGUCAAGGAAACUCGGCAAAAUGACUCCGUAACUUCGGGAGAAGGAGUGCCAUAGAGAUAUGGCCGCAGAGAAUUGGCCCAAGCAACUGUUUAGCAAAAACACAGGUCUAUGCGAAGCCGCAAGGCGAGGUAUAUGGGCUGACGCCUGCCCGGUGCUGGAAGGUUAAGGGGAGAGGUUAGAGCGAUCGAAGCCUUGAACUUAAGCCCCAGUAAACGGCGGCCGUAACUAUAACGGUCCUAAGGUAGCGAAAUUCCUUGUCGGGUAAGUUCCGACCCGCACGAAAGGCGUAAUGAUUUGGGCACUGUCUCGACAAUGCACCCGGUGAAAUUGAAGUACCAGUGAAGAUGCUGGUUACCCGCGCCAGGACGGAAAGACCCCAUGGAGCUUUACUCCAGCUUGAUACUGGGAUCCGGUAUUGCAUGUACAGGAUAGGUGGGAGGCUAGGAAGCGGGGACGCCAGUCGCCGCGGAGCCGCUGUUGGGAUACCACCCUUGCAGUGCUGGGUUUCUAACCAGCAGCCGUGAACCGGCUGGGGGACAAUGUCAGGCGGGGAGUUUGACUGGGGCGGUCGCCUCCGAAAGGGUAUCGGAGGCGCUCAAAGGUCCUCUCAGAAUGGUCGGAAACCAUUCGCAGAGCGCAAAGGCAGAAGAGGGCUUGACUGCGACACCGACGGGUGGAGCAGGUACGAAAGUAGGACUUAGUGAUCCGGUGGUAUAAAGUGGGAUUGCCAUCGCUCAACGGAUAAAAGCUACCCUGGGGAUAACAGGCUUAUCACUCCCAAGAGUUCACAUCGACGGAGUGGUUUGGCACCUCGAUGUCGGCUCAUCGCAUCCUGGGGCUGAAGUAGGUCCCAAGGGUUGGGCUGUUCGCCCAUUAAAGCGGUACGCGAGCUGGGUUCAGAACGUCGUGAGACAGUUCGGUCCCUAUCCGGCGCGGGCGUAGGAUAUUUGAGAGGAGCUGUCCUUAGUACGAGAGGACCGGGAUGGACUGGCCGCUGGUGGAUCUGUUGCGCCUCCAGGCGCAUGGCAGAGUAGCCAAGCCGGGACGGGAUAAACGCUGAAGGCAUCUAAGCGUGAAGCCCCCCUCGAGAUGAGAUAUCCCUGGCGUUAAGCCAGUAAGACCCCUUGAAGACGACGAGGUAGAUAGGAUAGAGGUGGAAUUGCAGCAAUGCAUGGAGCUGACUAUUACUAAUCGGUCGAGGGCAUG